ensembl:snRNA Gm23865 predicted gene, 23865
ACUCCCCUUCAGCAGAGCAUCCACUACAGCUGGAACAAUACAGAUCACCAUGGCCCCUGCGCAAGGAUGACACCGUUGGGAAUUGUUCCUGGAGUAA